CCUACGGGAGGCUGCAGUGGGAAAUAUUGGACAAUGGGCGAAAGCCUGAUCCAGCCAUGCCGCGUGUGUGAAGAAGGCCUUCGGGUUGUAAAGCACUUUCAGUGGGGAAGAAAGCCUUGGGGCUAAUACCCUCGAGGAAGGACAUCACCCACAGAAGAAGCACCGGCUAACUCCGUGCCAGCAGCCGCGGUAAUACGGAGGGUGCGAGCGUUAAUCGGAAUUACUGGGCGUAAAGCGCGCGUAGGCGGUCUGAUAAGCCGGUUGUGAAAGCCCCGGGCUCAACCUGGGAACGGCAUCCGGAACUGUCAGGCUAGAGUGCAGGAGAGGAAGGUAGAAUUCCCGGUGUAGCGGUGAAAUGCGUAGAGAUCGGGAGGAAUACCAGUGGCGAAGGCGGCCUUCUGGACUGACACUGACGCUGAGGUGCGAAAGCGUGGGUAGCAAACAGGAUUAGAUACCCCUGUAGUC
rnacentral:rRNA from 1 species